AAAAAUGUCCAUCACUGUAUUCUCUAUUUGCAUUAUGUUCCUCAAAAUAAUCCUCCUGUGCUGGGCUGCCUAAUGACCCACAAAAUGUUGGCCCGCUGAUUGCAUGAAGUGACUUUCUAUCUCAUGAAAAGAUGGUUCAUGUCGGAGUUAUGAACCACAGAAGUGCAGGCUAGGAAAACUGUUCAGAAAGCUCUGGGUUGAGACAGGAGACAUCUGAAUGUUUACAGCUGUUGAAAGACUCAGCAACAAGCUUCAGAAGAAACCACAGGACAGUGGUUACCUUAAUAAAAAUAAAGAUGUUUUCCCUGGAGUUGUACUUGAUGACUUGAAAGUGGUCUCUUCAGGCACAAGAGGAUGAUGCAUACUGUUCAUCAGCCAGCUGGUGCUCAGCUCCAGAUCCUGAAGACACAAGACUAAGAAUCUCAAAUUUCAUUUUUAAAAACACCUUCAGACCUUGUGAUAGAAAGUCUGCAAAGGAAAGAUGUUUCUUUCUUCUCUGGUGUGCCAGCAAAGCCUGGAGACACCUCCUGCUCCAGAGCUGCCUUUCCUCCCUCACCUAUGGGGAAAGAAGCUAAGAAGGAAGACAGAAGUCUCAUGGGUCUUUCAGGAGUAGAGGGGCAUUUCCAAGAGGAAGGAAGGAAAAGCAUCAGUUUACAAUU